CCUACGGGAGGCAGCAGUCGAGAAUCAUUCACAAUGGGGGAAACCCUGAUGGUGCGACGCCGCGUGGGGGAAUGAAGGUCUUCGGAUUGUAAACCCCUGUCAUGUGGGAGCAAAUUAAAAAGAUAGUACCACAAGAGGAAGAGACGGCUAACUCUGUGCCAGCAGCCGCGGUAAUCCAGAGGUCUCAAGCGUUGUUCGGAAUCACUUGGCUGAAGGGGUUCGGAGGCUGUUUCGUAAGUCGGGUGUGAAAGGCGCGGGCUCAACCCGCGGACGGCACAUGAUACUGCGAGACUAGAGUAAUGGAGGGGGAAGCGGAAGGCGCGGUGUAGCAGUGAAAUGCGUAGAUAUCGCGAAGAACACU
rnacentral:rRNA from 1 species